rnacentral:tRNA from 1 species
AGCAAGAUAGCUCACCUGGAUAGAGCACCUGUUUAGUCAUGUGUGUGGCGCAGGUUCAAGCCCUGCUCCUGCCA